GAGUACGAUCGCAAGAUUAAAACUCAAGGAAUUGACGGGGCCCCGCACAAGCAGCGGAGCACGCGGCUUAAUUCGACGCAACGCGAAGAACCUUACCAAGGCUUGACAUAUACAGGAAUAUGGCAGAGAUGUCAUAGCCGCAAGGUCUGUAUACAGGUGGUGCAUGGUUGUCGUCAGCUCGUGUCGUGAGAUGUUGGGUUAAGUCCCGCAACGAGCGCAACCCUCGUUCUGUGUUGCCAGCAUUUAGUUGGGGACUCACAGGAGACUGCCGGGGUUAACUCGGAGGAAGGUGGGGAUGACGUCAAAUCAUCAUGCCCCUUAUGUCUUGGGCUGCACGCAUGCUACAAUGGCUGGUACAAACGGCUGCGAUACCGCAAGGUGGAGCGAAUCCGAUAAAGCCAGUCUCAGUUCGGAUUGGGGUCUGCAACUCGACCCCAUGAAGUCGGAGUUGCUAGUAAUCGUAGAUCAGCAACGCUACGGUGAAUACGUUCCCGGGGCUUGUACACACCGCCCGUCACAUCACGAAAGUCGGUAACACCCAAAGUCAGUGGCCCAACCGCAAGGAGGGAGCUGCCAAAGGUGGGAUCGGUGAUUGGGAUG
rnacentral:rRNA from 1 species